AACCCGACUGCGUGAAGUCGGAAUCGCUAGUAAUCGCGGAUCAGAAUGCCGCGGUGAAUACGUUCCCGGGUCUUGUACACACCGCCCGUCACACCAUGGGAGCCGGUAACGCCCGAAGUCAGUGACCCAACCGAGAGGAGGGAGCUGCCGAAGGCGGGACAGGUAACUGGGGUGAAGUCGUAACAAGGUAUC
rnacentral:rRNA from 1 species